rnacentral:rRNA from 1 species
UACGUAGGGUGCAAGCGUUGUCCGGAAUUAUUGGGCGUAAAGAGCUCGUAGGCGGUUUGUUGCGUCGGCUGUGAUAUCCCGAGGCUCAACCUCGGGUCUGCAGUCGAUACGAGCAAACUAGAGUGUUGCAGGGGAGACUGGAAUUCCUGGUGAUAGCGGUGAAAUGCGCAGAUAUCAGGAGGAACACCGGUGGCGAAGGCGGGUCUCUGGGCCACUACUGACGCUGAGAAGCGAAAGCGUGGGGAGCGAACA